rnacentral:rRNA from 1 species
AGGAGCAACCAUAUCAGCACUAAUGCACGAGAUUCCAUCUGAACUCCGAAGUUAAGCGUGCUUGAGAAGGAAUAGUUCUAAGAUGGACCUGUCUUAUGACUUUCAUAGAUUCAGACUAGUGGCUUGAC